ensembl:lncRNA
GCCGUUGGCCUCACCAGUCUCGCAUGCAAAACACCACAGCUCCCUUUCGUGUUUGAAGCGAUAACAGUACAUCACUGCCAGGGACGUGCAGCACCCUAACUUUGAAUGCUGGUAUGCCAGGCACUUCCCAAUUCAUCUUGGAGACAGUAGAGGAAUUGGAAAAGGCCAGAAUAAUGCUGAAGGAGUGUGAUGUUGUCAUCUCUCCAGCCCCGCAGCUCGAGUGAUGUGCCUCUCAAAGCAGGGACUGUCUUUGCAUGCUGUGGUUGUUCCCUGCUUGGCCUAGUGACUCCUGGUGUGCAGCAAAGACUGCCGGCUACUGUAACAAUGACAUUAACCAGCUGAUGCUGUUACUAUGGCUGGGGCAACACAAGCGGCAACCUAUGGAUCUCAGCUGGAGAAUGGUGCAGCCCACUGUGUUCUGUCUUUAAAAGAAAAUCCAGCCAAAUCAUCUCAGCUCAGAGUAUGUUGCUACUUGGGACACUUUCCUGUAAUAUGGAAGACCCAGGCAAAAAUCCUUUCUCACCACUGGGUAAAGAAUGUGAACUUUGAAUCUACCACAGUUGAAAAAUGGGAGCCCCACCUUUCAACUACAAAUGUUCUCUCUCUCGAGUGUCUUUUUCCCUCCUGUUUUUCACAAUAAAUGUGAAAUGCCUUUGGUAAAUUUUGCCAAUGAAGGGGCAAACUGUGGAAAUCAAAUCUUCCUGCUGGACAGGAAAAAACAUUUAUAGCCUACAUCUGUGGGUAGUGAUAUGGUACAAGUGAAUUCGCAGACAUAGGUAAUCUGCAUAAAACAUUGAGUAACUUGGAUUUCCUCUGUAAAGCUACAUUGUGAGGUUACAGGCCAGCUGAAUCUUCCUUGCACUGUCUGGGUCGGUCACCGUCAUUGUGUUGCCUGUGUCUCUGCUCCCUAGAAGUCUGAGUAGCAGUUUUUAUUGGAUACACACUGGAUGACUUGCACAGAAAAAUUCCACCCCUGCAGUGCUCCAAGGUCUGUUGGGAAAGUGGUUGCCUUUGAAUCUUCUCACAUAUAUCAGAGCUGACCACAGCCUCACGGUCAGCUGGCUGUGGCAUCUCUGCUUUCCCAGCUUUUAUUCUGAACUAGUUCCGACGUGUUCUUGAGAAAAAUUUCUCUGCAGUAUGAUUGCCUUUAGGUGUGAUGUUAUCAUGGUUCGCUCCACCUAUCUCACUGCCUCUUAGAGGCAGACCAUACCUCCUCAUUCUGAAUGUUCACCACCUUAGUGGAAUGACUGACAUGAUUACUUGCAAUCUGUUGCUUUAUGUAGUUUGUUCUCAGACUCCUUCUAACCUCUGUCUUAAAAUUGCCUCAUAACUACCUUGAAUGAUGUUUUCUGUGUCAUUCAGUUGCCUGUAUUUCUUUCAAGUUGAUGAUCUCAUAUUUUUGGUCAGCUGCUGUGCUUCAUGUUACAAGGUUCCUUUAGAGAAAAAGCCAACUAGGUACAUCUUAGUCCCUUGAAGUGUAUAGUUAAAUGCUAGCAAUAUCAGUAACACAUACUGAAAGCCUUCAGAGGCUGGUACUAGCAGCUUUUAAAAAAGUUAUGCAGUCGUUCAUUCAUGGUCACCUUCUCCUUGAAGUUUUCUCACCCUUGGACACACUGGAUGUACUUUUCAUGUUCUUUUCA